UCCCGUUUAACACGGGCAGUCCCUCUAGAGUGCUCAACUUAAUGGUAGCAACUAGAGGCAAGGGCUGCGCUCGUUGCGGGACUUAACCCAACAUCUCACGACACGAGCUGACGGCAGCCAUGCAGCACCUGUGUUCCGGCCAGCCGAACUGAAGGACCGCGUCUCCACGACCCACACCGGACAUGUCAAGCCUUGGUAAGGUUCUUCGCGUUGCAUCGAAUUAAACCACACGCUCCGCCGCUUGUGCGGGCCCCCGUCAAUUCCUUUGAGUUUUAGCCUUGCGGCCGUACUCCCCAGGCGGGAUGCUUAAAGCGUUAGCUGCGGCACGGAGGGGGUCGACACCCCCCACACCUAGCAUCCACCGUUUAGGGCGUGGACUAC
rnacentral:misc_RNA from 1 species